UACGAAGGGGGCUAGCGUUGUUCGGAAUUACUGGGCGUAAAGCGCACGUAGGCGGAUAUUUAAGUCAGGGGUGAAAUCCCAGAGCUCAACUCUGGAACUGCCUUUGAUACUGGGGAUCUUGAGUCCGGGAGAGGUGAGUGGAACUGCGAGUGUAGAGGUGAAAUUCGUAGAUAUUGGGAGGAACACCAGUGGCGAAGGCGGCUCACUGGACCGGUACUGACGCUGAUGCGCGAAAGCGUGGGGAGCAAACGGG
rnacentral:rRNA from 1 species